AUUGAACGCUGGCGGCAGGCCUAACACAUGCAAGUCGAACGAGUGGCGGACGGGUGAGUAAUGUCUGGGAAACUGCCUGAUGGAGGGGGAUAACUACUGGAAACGGUAGCUAAUACCGCAUACCAUCGGAUGUGCCCAGGUGGGAUUAGCUAGUAGGUGGGGUAAAGGCUCACCUAGGCGACGAUCCCUAGCUGGUCUGAGAGGAUGACCAGCCACACUGGGACUGAGAAACGGUCCAGACUCCUACGGGAGGCAGCAGUGGGGAAUAUUGCGCAAUGGGGGCAACCCGGAUGCAGCUAUGCCGCGUGAAUGAAGAAGGCCUUCGGGUUGUAAAGUUCUUUCGGGAGCGAGGCGUUACCCUCAGAAGAAGCACCGGCUAACUCCGUGUCAGCAGCCGCGGUAAUAC
rnacentral:rRNA from 1 species